rnacentral:rRNA from 1 species
UACGUAGGGUGCAAGCGUUAAUCGGAAUUACUGGGCGUAAAGCGUGCGCAGGCGGUUCCGCAAGUCAGAUGUGAAAUCCCCGGGCUCAACCUGGGAACUGCAUUUGAAACUACGGGGCUAGAGUGUGUCAGAGGGGGGUGGAAUUCCACGUGUAGCAGUGAAAUGCAUAGAGAUGUGGAGGAACACCAAUGGCGAAGGCAGCCCCCUGGGAUGACACUGACGCUCAUGCACGAAAGCGUGGGGAGCAAACAGG